rnacentral:rRNA from 1 species
GACGAACCGAGCGAACGUUGUUCGGAAUCACUGGGCUUAAAGGGCGCGUAGGCGGGCUGCAAAGUCUGGGGUGAAAUGCUGCGGCUCAACCGUAGAACUGCCUUAGAUACUGACGGCCUCGAGGAAGGUAGGGGCAUGCGGAACUGUAGGUGGAGCGGUGAAAUGCGUUGAUAUCUACAGGAACUCCGGUGGCGAAAGCGGCGUGCUGGACCUUUUCUGACGCUGAGGCGCGAAAGCUAGGGGAGCAAACGGG